rnacentral:tRNA from 1 species
GCCCCGGUGGUGUAGUCCGGCCAAUCAUGCAGCCCUUUCGAGGCUGUGACUCGGGUUCAAAUCCCGACCGGGGCA